UACGAAGGGGCUAGCGUUGUUCGGAAUCACUGGGCGUAAAGGGCGCGUAGGCGGCUUUGUAAGUCGGGGUGAAAGCCUGUGGCUCAACCACAGAAUGCCUUCGAUACUGCAUGGCUUGAGACCGGAAGAGGUUAGUGGAACUGCGAGUGUAGAGGUGAAAUUCGUAGAUAUUCGCAAGAACACCAGUGGCGAAGGCGGCGACUGGUC
rnacentral:rRNA from 1 species